GUGGGUAUAGCUCAAGCAGUAGAGUGCAUGCUUGGCAUGCAGGAGGCCCUAGGUCCAAUCCCCAGUACCUCCA
rnacentral:tRNA from 1 species